AUUGAACGCUGGCGGCAGGCCUAACACAUGCAAGUCGAGCGGAUGAAGGGAGCUUGCUCCUGGAUUCAGCGGCGGACGGGCGAGUAAUGCCUAGGAAUCUGCCUGGUAGUGGGGGAUAACGUCCGGAAACGGGCGCUAAUACCGCAUACGUCCUGAGGGAGAAAGUGGGGGAUCUUCGGACCUCACGCUAUCAGAUGAGCCUAGGUCGGAUUAGCUAGUUGGUGGGGUAAAGGCCUACCAAGGCGACGAUCCGUAACUGGUUUGAGAGGAUGAUCAGUCAACCUGGAACUGAGACACGGUCCCGACUCCUUCGGGAGGCAGCAGUUGGGAAUAUUGGGCAAUGGGCGGAAGGCUGAACCAGCCAAGGCGCGUGUGUGAAGAAGGUCUUCGGAUUGUAAAACCCUUUUAGUUGGGAGGAAAGGCAGUAAGUUAAUACCUUGCUGUUUUGACGUUACCAACAGAAUAAGCACCGGCUAACUUCGUG
rnacentral:rRNA from 1 species